CGGGGUGCUCAAUGGCGGAGACACUGGUGAGCUUUUUGCUGGCAACGGCCAUGGAUUCCUUGUACAGCUGCUCUUCGGGGUGGUGGAAACGGAAUUGUGUGGUGCGGCUGGGGGGAAGUGUAGAGCACCCUGUUGGGUCCUGAAAGAACAACCCGUGUUGGUUGUUUUCUUCAGACCCGAUUACUCCACCGGUUGGUGGGGGUUGGUUGCCAGGCAUGGCCUGGUCUCGCAUACCGCCGGCUUUGGUCCGGUUUUGGUGUGGGGCUGU
rnacentral:misc_RNA from 1 species